rnacentral:rRNA from 2 species
UAUCACUAAGCGGAGGAAAAGAAACUAACCAGGAUUCCCCUAGUAACGGCGAGUGAAGAGGGAAGAGCCCAGCACCGAAGCCUGCGGUAGUUUUACUGUUAGGCAAUGUGGUGUUUGGGUCGGCUAGUUGGAUUGCCACUCCACUCGAAGUCCAGCAUUGAGUAUGGUUUACUGGAUAUUUGGCCCAGAGAGGGUGAAAGGCCCGUACGGGUGGAGGUAUCAGACAAGUGAGGCAGUUCACCAGGCCGGCCUUAGAGUCGGGUUGUUUGGGAAUGCAGCCCAAAGCGGGUGGUAAACUCCAUCCAAGGCUAAAUACUAGCACGAGUCCGAUAGCAAACAAGUACCGUGAGGGAAAGUUGAAAAGUACUUUGAAGAGAGAGUAAACAGUACGUGAAACCGCAUGCAGGUAAACGGGUGGCGUCAAGCUGCAAGCCUGGAGAAUUCAGCUGAUAAGGGUGUUGUGUGUGAGUGCCUUGGCACCAUUCGGCCAGAGUAAGACGUGUUGGGCCACUCGUGUAGUGGUAGGUCCCGCCUUCUGGUGGGGCCCUGUGUGUACUGCUCAUCGGUAGGAGCACACCAGCCGUCUAUGGAGCCGCCCUAUCAGUGCACUUUCUCCGGUGCGAACACCACGACCGGUGGAACUGCCAGUCUGCUAUGGUCAAGUCGUAUUCGGUGAGUCCUUGUGGCCUACUGGGUGCGAUCACGGGCAAACUCGGUAAACGGCGUUGAAGCACUUUCGGGUGCGUCUUCGUGUUAUCGGCUACUGGUUGUCUUAACGGGCCUGCCUUUCGAUUGUUUUAGCCGUCGAUUGGUGGUCUGGUGGAUCAUAGUGGUAUGAAUAACUGUGCAGGGCACUGGAGUUUUCGGCCUCAGUAUGGCGGCCUGCUAAUGCGCUUUAAGUGUGUGUAUGUGGAUGCGGGUGCGCCUGCCUGUUGUUGGGUCCGAUUGUCGUGUCGCGCACAAAGUGCGCCCGGCAGUGGCCUGAUGCAGGGUGGAGCUGUAGUCGUGUUCAUAUGUGGCAGGUCGUUGUGGGCCUAAUAGUCAGUGGUGUAGUGGUAGACGAGCUACCCGACCCGUCUUGAAACACGGACCAAGGAGUUUAACAUGUAUGCAAGUCAAGGGGUCCUACGAAACCCAAAGGCGCAGUGAAAGUGAAGCUUAGGCCAUUUCGGUGGUUUGAGUGAGGUGAGAUCCCGUCGUUACUCGCAUCAGUCGCAUCCAGUAUGAGGCAUUAAGAGCGGCGGGCGCAUCACCGGCCCGUCCCAUGAUGUGGUCAUUGGAACAAGGCUGCAGUUGGUUUAUCUGGCUGUAGUACUCCCAGUGCGUCAUCGGGGCGGAGCAUGAGCAUACAUGUUGAGACCCGAAAGAUGGUGAACUAUGCUUGCGUAGGUUGAAGCCAGAGGAAACUCUGGUGGAGGACCGCAGCGAUUCUGACGUGCAAAUCGAUCGUCAAACGUGAGUAUA